rnacentral:rRNA from 1 species
AUUGAACGCUGGCGGAAUGCCUAACACAUACAAGUCGAGCGGGGGUAGCAAUACUUCAGCGGCGGACGGGUGAGGAACACAUAGGAAUCUGCCUUUAGGUGGGGGAUAGCCAGGGGAAACGCUGGGUAAUACCGAAUGAUCUCGAGAGAGCAAAGGGGCGCAAGUCUCGCCUUUAGAGGAGCCUAUGUCUGAUUAGCUAGUUGGCGGUGUAAUGGACCACCAAGGCGAUGAUCAGUAACUGGUCUGAGAGGACGAUCAGUCACACCGGAACUGAGACACGGUCCGGACUCCUACGGGAGGCAGCAGUGGGGAAUAUUGGACAAUGGGCGAAAGCCUGAUCCAGCAAUUCCGCGUGUGUGAAGAAGGCCUUCGGGUUGUAAAGCACUUUAGUUGGGGAAGAAACAGCUUGGCCACACCAAGCCUUGACGGUACCCAAAGAAUAAGCACCGGCUAACUCUGUGCCAGCCGCCGCCGUAA